AUGUGCCUCUUAAUUAGGGGAUAGAAUGAAUGAACCCACAUAGGAGAACCUAUCUACUAAGGUAAAAUAAAAAUUAACAUCGAGGUGAAAAGGCCUCAAUAUAAAAACAAGACAACCAGUCCCUAAAAGCUUACCUAACAAUUUCCAUUAACUAUUCUGCUGGGGAAGCAGCCUUUGAAGCAAAGGGAUAAAAAAGACAAUAACUCAUCCUAUAAACCUUUCAAAAAUUCCAAAAAGCUACUUUAGGGAUAACAGGCUAAUAGAUUUUCAGAGACCCUAUCGAAAAAUCUGUUUGGCACCUCGAUGUUGGCUUAGGGAUCCUAACAAUAGAAGAAGAUUGUCAAGGAAGUUUGUUCAACUUUUAACGCCCUACAUGAUCUGAGUCCAAACGGGAGACC
rnacentral:rRNA from 1 species